CUCUCACACACACGCUCUCUCUCUCUCAAAAUUAAGUCACUGUAAAAAAAAUGUACACACGUGACUAAAAUCGCACUGCCAUUGUUUAAAACCGCGAAGUGUUAGCCGCGUGGUUAGAAACUGCCGGUAACUGGAACACAGCCUCGGCCCCGCCCCCAAGCCACCCCCACCUUGCUAAGGAGGGACUGUUCUCCCCUUUCAAAGAUGGGGAAACGGAGUCUCUCAAACGAAAGUGGAAUCAAGAUCCAGUGCCAGGAGUGAGGGGCUCGUAACUGAUAGGCCUGGGUCACAGGAGUGACCUCAAAACCCAGCCUCAGGUCCCUCCCGAUUCAUCAGUUGUGUUGUGGUUCCCGGUCCGGGGUGGCAGAAAGCGGAGGCAGGAAGCAGUUGACAGACAGACCAUUGUCUUGAGUGGAAAGUCUCACGGAGACACCGCGAUUCUUGCUGCACGAGAUUCGCCCCUCGACCCCUGGGGACGCUGACAGGCCGCCCCCGAGGUAGCCAGCAGCCCCCGAGCCCCCUGCCAGGACUUGCCGCACUGCCAUAGUGGCCCCCACCAGGCGCCCAGGUGAUGUCCUCGGGGCUGUGCACAGCACAGUGCGAGAGGCUUCGGGGGCGCCCCCAGGCUGCCCCGCUUGCCACCCUCGGUUGUCACCCUGGGCGUUGACAUGCAGGGAGCAGAAAAGGAAGGGGGCUGAGAAAGAGCUGGGUUGUGGGGAUGAGGCCCAGAGUGGGAGACUCGGGCUGGUGGCUUCAUCCUCUUCGGAUCCGAGCCCUCGGGGAGCCCCAAUUCGGCACGUGAUUCUCCAGGAAUGAUCUUGCUCCCCCUGUCUUUGUUCCCAGGAGCGGGAAGAUCAGUGCUUCCAGGAAAAGAGAUUCCAGGGCUCGACUUGGGGCAAGUUGCCUCCUCCUCUGGGUGUGUUUUCUCACAAACCAAAUGGGAGGUAAGGACGCAUGGCGUCCCAGUUAUGCGAAGGCUCCACUGGCCCCGCCCCCCCCGGGGGGGGGGCGGGGACAGUGGCGGCAGAGGAAACCAGUUCACUGGGUGAGUGGCCAGCACCCGCCUCCUUCUAGUCCCUCUACCCCAGGUCCCUUGAGAAGCACCCUACCCCUCCCUCAAUUCCUUUCGGUCCCAUGAGGUUGACCCCACCCAAGGGCACCAGGGCUGGGCACAUGGCCCAGCCUGACCAACCAGAGCAUCUCAACCCUCUGGCUACAGUAUUUGGUUCAGGAAUGUCUGUGUGACCCAAGCCAGAACUUUCCCAAGAGCUAUCAGGAAAGGGGCAUUCUGCCUCAGGGCAGAGGGAUUGCUAAGUUGAGAGACUGGAACUGUUGCCACCAAUGACGGGGGUAAAGGUGGUGGGAACUGUCAGAGGAUUAAGCCAACAGGAAAACAAGGGCCUAGAGCUGAGGAAGAAGAAGAAAGGAGGAUUCCUAAUAACAUCUGAGCGUCUGGAUCCAGCUAUGCCUGAAGCUAGAAACCCCUGCGCUUUUCAGUUACGGCGGCCAACAAGUUCUCUUUUUGCCUAAGCCAUUUGAGCAAAAGCCAAAUUCUCCAGGAAGAUUAAAUGCACGAGCCUGCCCUCCUGCCCCAGCUCCAGGCCACGCAUCUCCACGCUGUGUGACUUCGGGCAAACCACUCUCCUGCUCUGUAAAAUGGGGAGGGUCGCGGCACCGGCCACCAACACAAGACAGUCGCCCCGCACUCUGGGCUCAUCGGUGCCAGACGCCAGGAUAAACCCGUGGCCGGCAUUGACGUGCGUCUUCCUCGCAAGGUCGGGGGUGGUGUGACCCCAUUUACAGCCGAGACAACUGAGGCAGAGUUCGCCAAGAGGGAACAGAAGCACAGAGAGGUUAAGCGACUCGCCCGAAGUCACACAGCUGGUCUAGCCAGGAUUUCAACCAGGAAACAGAAACAGAUUGGACUCUCUGCCUCCUUCCAAGCCUCACCCCUCUGCCCCCCUCCUUUCGCUCUCUCCGGGGGUCACUUUGCUCAUGUUCCAAGCACUAACAUGGAAUCGGAGUGUGUG